rnacentral:rRNA from 1 species
AGAGUUUGAUCCUGGCUCAGGACGAACGCUGGCGGCGUGCUUAACACAUGCAAGUCGAACGAAGAGCGAUGGGAGCUUGCUCCUAUCAAUCUUAGUGGCGAACGGGUGAGUAACGCGUAAUCAACCUGCCCUUCAAUGGGGGACAACAGUUGGAAACGACUGCUAAUACCGCAUACGAUCGUAAUUCGGCAUCGAGUACGAUGAAAGGUGGCCUCUAUUUAUAAGCUAUCGUUGAAGGAGGGGAUUGCGUCUGAUUAGCUAGUUGGAGGGGUAACGGCCCACCAAGGCAAUGAUCAGUAGCCGGUCUGAGAGGAUGAACGGCCACAUUGGGACUGAGACACGGCCCAAACUCCUACGGGAGGCAGCAGUGGGGAAUCUUCCGCAAUGGACGAAAGUCUGACGGAGCAACGCCGCGUGAGUGAUGAAGGUCUUCGGAUUGUAAAGCUCUGUUAAUCGGGACGAAAGAGCCUAGUGUGAAUAAUGCUAGGAAGUGACGGUACCGGAAUAGAAAGCCACGGCUAACUACGUGCCAGCAGCCGCGGUAAUACGUAGGUGGCAAGCGUUGUCCGGAAUUAUUGGGCGUAAAGCGCGCGCAGGCGGAUCUGCCAGUCUGUCUUAAAAGUUCGGGGCUUAACCCCGUGAUGGGAUAGAAACUACAGAUCUAGAGUAUCGGAGAGGAAAGUGGAAUUCCUAGUGUAGCGGUGAAAUGCGUAGAUAUUAGGAAGAACACCAGUGGCGAAGGCGACUUUCUGGACGAAAACUGACGCUGAGGCGCGAAAGCCAGGGGAGCGAACGGGAUUAGAUACCCCGGUAGUCCUGGCCGUAAACGAUGGGUACUAGGUGUAGGAGGUAUCGACCCCUUCUGUGCCGCAGUUAACGCAAUAAGUACCCCGCCUGGGGAGUACGACCGCAAGGUUGAAACCAAAGGAAUUGACGG